AACAGAUCCAGUCUUUUAUCUUUAAAAUACUUUAUUUAUAAGAAACUCAUUAGACUUCUGAUAUUGUUAAAUGGAAAUACUGCAUCAUGAAAGAGAAAUGGUUUGUUUAUCUUCUCAUUAUUAGCCAUUAAUGAUGGUUCUCGAUUACCCCAUUCAGGAUUAUAAAAGGUUCUGCUUCUUCCACCAAAGUAUCUGCCUGCAGGAUUUUUAUAUUAUGUUGACUUUUAUGGAGAAUAUUAAGCAGCACAGAAUUGUCAGUGUCAGUGGACAAAUCAUGAUGGGUAUUAGUAGCAUGGUAUAAGAAAUUGCACAAUGAGCAAGAUUCUGCCGAUAAAAAACCCCAUGGUACGGUGAAGAAGCAUUUCAACGUGAGUUCAAGGUUAGUAAAAAUGAAAUAUGGUUGAGAAUGACACCAU